rnacentral:ncRNA from 1 species
UUCAAUCUGCCACCGGGUAGAGAUGCUUCGGCAUCCGUAAACACAUCGUUAGGUCUUUGAAGAUGUGUUCGCGGAUGCUUUUUUCUU